GGCUCAGGACGAACGCUGGCGGCGUGCUUAACACAUGCAAGUCGAACGAUGAACCACUUCGGUGGGGAUUAGUGGCGAACGGGUGAGUAACACGUGGGCAAUCUGCCCUUCACUCUGGGACAAGCCCUGGAAACGGGGUCUAAUACCGGAUAACACUGCGGAUCGCAUGGUCUGCGGUUAAAAGCUCCGGCGGUGAAGGAUGAGCCCGCGGCCUAUCAGCUUGUUGGUGAGGUAAUGGCUCACCAAGGCGACGACGGGUAGCCGGCCUGAGAGGGCGACCGGCCACACUGGGACUGAGACACGGCCCAGACUCCUACGGGAGGCAGCAGUGGGGAAUAUUGCACAAUGGGCGAAAGCCUGAUGCAGCGACGCCGCGUGAGGGAUGACGGCCUUCGGGUUGUAAACCUCUUUCAGCAGGGAAGAAGCGAAAGUGACGGUACCUGCAGAAGAAGCGCCGGCUAACUACGUGCCAGCAGCCGCGGUAAUACGUAGGGCGCAAGCGUUGUCCGGAAUUAUUGGGCGUAAAGAGCUCGUAGGCGGCUUGUCACGUCGAUUGUGAAAGCCCGAGGCUUAACCUCGGGUCUGCAGUCGAUACGGGCUAGCUAGAGUGUGGUAGGGGAGAUCGGAAUUCCUGGUGUAGCGGUGAAAUGCGCAGAUAUCAGGAGGAACACCGGUGGCGAAGGCGGAUCUCUGGGCCAUUACUGACGCUGAGGAGCGAAAGCGUGGGGAGCGAACAGGAUUAGAUACCCUGGUAGUCCACGCCGUAAACGGUGGGAACUAGGUGUUGGCGACAUUCCACGUCGUCGGUGCCGCAGCUAACGCAUUAAGUUCCCCGCCUGGGGAGUACGGCCGCAAGGCUAAAACUCAGAGGAAUUGACGGGGGCCCGCACAAGCAGCGGAGCAUGUGGCUUAAUUCGACGCAACGCGAAGAACCUUACCAAGGCUUGACAUACACCGGAAAGCAUCAGAGAUGGUGCCCCCCUUGUGGUCGGUGUACAGGUGGUGCAUGGCUGUCGUCAGCUCGUGUCGUGAGAUGUUGGGUUAAGUCCCGCAACGAGCGCAACCCUUGUUCUGUGUUGCCAGCAUGCCCUUCGGGGUGAUGGGGACUCACAGGAGACUGCCGGGGUCAACUCGGAGGAAGGUGGGGACGACGUCAAGUCAUCAUGCCCCUUAUGUCUUGGGCUGCACACGUGCUACAAUGGCAGGUACAAUGAGCUGCGAAACCGUGAGGUAGAGCGAAUCUCAAAAAGCCUGUCUCAGUUCGGAUUGGGGUCUGCAACUCGACCCCAUGAAGUCGGAGUUGCUAGUAAUCGCAGAUCAGCAUUGCUGCGGUGAAUACGUUCCCGGGCCUUGUACACACCGCCCGUCACGUCACGAAAGUCGGUAACACCCGAAGCCGGUGGCCCAACCCCUU
rnacentral:rRNA from 1 species